CGGACAACUGAGAUUGAAGACCGAUUAAACAAGUUUGCGGUUAUCCCCUAAUCCCUCCCUACUGGUAAUUUUAGAAAAGAAAACUCUGCUCCCUUGUAUUGGUAAUGAAACCCUAAAAUUGUGCACAGUAGCUCCUCGACCAAAUGAAGAACGAUGAAAACCCUAAAAGAGAGGAAAUACACUGCAACUUUGUGAUAGACAGAGAGGUUUCCUUUCCUCUCAUCGCUCCUCGCCAUUUGAGAUUGCCACAGAGAUCAGUUCCUGGACGACCUUGAUCUGAUCCUUCACAGACUCUCCGCUCAGCUAAUCGUUGGCCGUCAAGCUGCCCGUGCUCUGUUCUCCUGAUUGCCAUCACGAGAGUUGAGAGGAUUUUGGGGGCAACAAUUUGAAGGAGACAAACAACAUCAAUCCAAGAUGACAAGCACAAGCUAGGACUGCAUAUGAAUUCCCAAGUUGGUUCUUAAAUUACGUAAGUAUAAAUAUGUUGGUUCAAACAUAGAAUAUAUGUAAUGUCCCGCCCAUUUCCAUCCACGAAAUUAACAAAUACUUAAUUUCAAUGAAAGGUUCAAGAUCCAAAUCAUCAGAUAACCGAUCCUCAUUUGUUGUCCUUGGCUUUGGAAAAUAUACUUUGUGCUUGGGUUCAAGUUUCAAGCAGAUGAGGGAACUGCUAAUAAGAAGACCUUUUAUAAUAGUGGUGUUUGAGUUAAGGGGAUGUCGGCGAAGGAGUAGGUGAGAGUGACAAUUAUGGGAUAAUGAAGGCGGUUGUUGAAUUACAGUACCUUCUCUAGCCUAUGCAUCAAGUGGUUUUAUUUAUGUGCGAAUGGUUCGAUCCUGGAUGAGGCACCCGUAGAGUUCAUCUUGAGUAUAGGAUUGUUGAAGUAAAUCAUGAGGAUAGGUUAUGCAAUUACAAUUUUUGGCAAGUUUACUAUGUGCCAUAUCUCGGGAAUAUCAAAGCCAAAAUAGAUUGGUGGACUAUUAUGUACAUGAAAGCAACUGACCGAGUAAAGUACCCUAUUCACUAGAGCUGGCAUUUCAAAAUGAUGAGCCAUCAAGGGUUCGUGGGAUAACUUCCGGUGAUACCGAGGUUCCAUUGAUUGAUGAGUACGGUGAUUUUCAAAUUUUGGAUGUUUCUAGCAUAACGAGAGGAAAUGGAGCCAAUACUAGCUCUAGCAAUGAUCACUUAGCAAUGAAGUGUGACGAUGAAAAUGAAAAUGAUGAAUAUGAAGAUGCUGAAGGAGGCGAUAUUGGUGAAUUUGAACCAGACGAACGAGAAAAUGAGAGUGCCGAUGAGAUUUAUUAGGAAUGAAUCAUUAACUCUGUAAUUAACUUUUUUCCAUGUGAUGAGUACGGUGAUUUUCAAAUUUUGGAUGUUUCUAGCAUAACGAGAGGAAAUGGAGCCAAUACUAGCUCUAGCAAUGAUCACUUAGCAAUGAAGUGUGACGAUGAAAAUGAAAAUGAUGAAUAUGAAGAUGCUGAAGGAGGCGAUAUUGGUGUAUUUGAACCCGACGAACGAGAAAAUGAGAGUGCCGAUGAGAUUUAUUAGGAAUGAAUCAUUAACUCUGUAAUUAACUUUUUUCCAUGUGCUGGGAGUAUUUUGGUUAUUUUUUUAAUGCAACGAAUUCUAGUUUUGUUUAUAUUAUUUGUUUUUGUUCCGUUUAUGCAAUAAAUUCUGGUUACUUA